rnacentral:tRNA from 2 species
GCCCGAGUGGCGGAAUUGGUAGACGCGCACGACUCAAAAUCGUGUUCCUCACGGAGUGAGAGUUCGAUUCUCUCCUCGGGCA